AUACGUAGGGUGCAAGCGUUAAUCGGAAUUACUGGGCGUAAAGCGUGCGCAGGCGGUUUUGUAAGACAGAGGUGAAAUCCCCGGGCUCAACCUGGGAACUGCCUUUGUGACUGCAAGGCUGGAGUACGGCAGAGGGGGAUGGAAUUCCGCGUGUAGCAGUGAAAUGCGUAGAUAUGCGGAGGAACACCGAUGGCGAAGGCAAUCCCCUGGGCCUGUACUGACGCUCAUGCACGAAAGCGUGGGGAGCAAACAGGAUUAGAUACCCUGGUAGUCCACGCCCUAAACGAUGUCAACUGGUUGUUGGGUCUUCAUUGACUCAGUAACGAAGCUAACGCGUGAAGUUGACCGCCUGGGGAGUACGGCCGCAAGGUUGAAACUCAAAUGAAUUGACGGGG
rnacentral:rRNA from 1 species